AACGAACGCUGGCGGCAGGCUUAACACAUGCAAGUCGAACGCAUCGCAAGAUGAGUGGCAGACGGGUGAGUAACGCGUGGGAAUCUACCUAGUUCUACGGAACAACAGUUGGAAACGACUGCUAAUACCGUAUACGCCCUACGGGGGAAAGAUUUAUCGGAAUUAGAUGAGCCCGCGUAAGAUUAGCUAGUUGGUGGGGUAAUGGCCUACCAAGGCGACGAUCUUUAGCUGGUCUGAGAGGAUGAUCAGCCACACUGGGACUGAGACACGGCCCAGACUCCUACGGGAGGCAGCAGUGGGGAAUAUUGGACAAUGGGCGCAAGCCUGAUCCAGCCAUGCCGCGUGAGUGAUGAAGGCCUUAGGGUUGUAAAGCUCUUUCACCGAUGAAGAUAAUGACGGUAGUCGGAGAAGAAGCCCCGACUAACUUCGUGCCAGCCGCCGCAGUAAAAC
rnacentral:rRNA from 1 species